CAAAGCAAGUUUGAUGGUAAAGGUCACAGUUACUGAUGCACCAUUUUAUUCAAGUUUUCAGUCUCAGGGUUAGACUUAUUAUCUAGUUGAUGCUUUUAGUGAUUAGCCGAAAUUUAUGAUGAAAUUUAAGCAAAUUAGUGAGUUUUGUGUGUCUGUGUGGUGCAGGUGAGACUUCCAAUCGAUUUCCGGCGACAUUGUGCAAUGGACAAUCACUUUGUUCCUCCCCUUCUCCCUAUGAAAUCCUGUCAGUGAU
rnacentral:lncRNA from 1 species